CCCAAACUCUCUACAAUUGCAGGUAAAGUUCGUUUUGAUUUGGAUAAUCAAUUUAUAAACAUGAUAUAUUUGGGUGGAUUAACAGUUCACUUUAUUUGGAGAGUUCAAAGGCUUGAGUUUGUUAAUCUUUUCCUGACAUCAAUAUUUGAAAAGGUGUUGAUCCAUACCAAACAAACUCAUGAUAUUCAACUCCCAUUCAAGGCUCUGUUUGUUUGCAUGUAAAAUAUUUUUUAUAAAACUUUUUUUAUUUUUUUUGGUGUUUGAUUCAAAAUUAAGUUAAAUAUUUCCCAAAUAAAAUAUUUUGUUAGAACUUAACAAAAAUAGCGUACUCGGAAAUUUUUUGGCUAGUUAUUUUACAAGCAAAACCCGAUCCAAUCAUAGACCUCAACCUCCUAACUACAGACCUCAACCUUCACUUCGACUCCCUCCCCCUCUCUCCCCCCCUCUCUCUCUCAAUGCCAUAGAAGCCUCUCUUCAAACCAAAACUGAUAAGUUCUCUCCUCAAUUGACACGGCUCCUCUUCACACCAUACGACUCUCUCCCUUCAUGGUUGGAAAACCUUAGAAAAAUGUUUUGAAUCUCUUAUUUAUCACCUUCAGAAAUAGGUAUGAAUUGCUCACUCAAUCUAAGUUUUUAAUUUUUUUCGAUUUUAUUUUUAACAUCCCUUAGGGUUUUCAAUGUUCAUCCCUUAGGGCCUGUAUAUGUAUGUGUGUAUAUAUAUAUAUAUAUAUAUAUAUAUAAUUUUAUAUAUGUUUUUUAGAUUUUAAUUUAUUUUUGUUGAUUUGAUUUUUUGAUGGGUUUUGUUUCAAGUUGGGUUUUGAUUUUUUUUUGACUCCCAUAACAUUUUUCAGAUGUGACCUCUAAAUGGAAAGAUGUGCAUCAUGUUAAUGCACGUGGUAGCAAAUCUGGAUUUGGAAACAUUAUUUACUAUGUGAUAAUUUUCUUUUCUUUUUGUUUCUUUUGGGUAAAUUAGAUCUUGUGAAUGUGAAUUAGUUAAUUGGAGAAUUGGAGACUAGCACUGCAUUGAUAAGGAAUGAUGUUGAUUAAUAGAACUUCUUUUGUUUUCUUUCUUCUUACUCUUCUUUUCUACAGUAUAAACCCAAAGAACUCUUUAAUGAACGUUGGGGUUUAACUUUAUGCUCACCCUGUAGGCUCAACUAUGUUAAAUGACAAUGACUCAGGAGGUGUCUAAGUCCUGUCCUGAAACAAACACCGGGUUUUUCAACGAUAAUUAACGUCCUAUCUGUAUUAAUCCCAAUGUCCAAUAAAAACUUGACAACACAUUGCAACCUUAUCCAACUCCCCCCAAAAAAAAAAAAAAAAGAAGAAAAAAAACGAUACAACAAUUCUCUCUCUCUCUCUUACUCUGUAUCUAUACAGACUCUCUCUCUCUCUUUCUAUAUCUAUAUUUGUAGCUAUUGAUACAACAAUUCUCUCUCUCUCUCUCUCUAUAUAUAUAUAUAUAUUUGUAGCUAUUGACCCAACAAUUCUCUCUCUUACUCUGUAUCUGUAGAAACUCUCUCUCUCUAUAUAUAUAUAUUUAUAUCUGUAUUUUUUUACUUACAAAAAAAAAAAAUUGUAUCGGCAUCUAUCACUACAACUCUCUCUGUGUAUCUAUCGCAGUCAAUCUCCAAGGCUCCAAACAACUCCCUUCUCCCUCCCCUGUUUCAUUUCUCCACUUGGCUAAUUCUCUUCCAGAAUGUGAUUGUCGAUCUCCAUUGUCUCUUCACGAUCGUAGGCUUCUCGAGGAGUUUGGGUGGUUCACUGGGUGUCCUUCCGUGAUUGAGCUGUCCAUGGGUGUUGGGCUUGAGGAUUUGUGCAAAAAAGGCUUCCUUUGGAGGUGAUGAUGGGGUCAGUGGGGUCUGGGUUUAUCGUUAUUUGUAUGAUGGUGAUGAGUUUACGGAUUUGGGACACAGUAGUGUAAAUCUCAAUUAUUUGAUUGUUUACAUUGAUUAUGUUGCUUAAACUGAAAUAGACUACGGUCAAGAAGCUUUCAUUUUACCAAGUAAGAAAAUAUGUUUAAUGUUCAGUGAUCAGAAAUCUUGGUAUAUGUCUGGCAUCUGUAUGUCAUCAGUUAAAACAUCUGAUUGGUAGUGCUUUAUCUUCUAUAAAUUGAGUUAAUUCUGACUU